AUUGAACACUGGCGGCAUGCCUUACACAUGCAAGUCGAACGGCAGCACGGGAGCAAUCCUGGUGGCGAGUGGCGAACGGGUGAGUAAUAUAUCGGAACGUGCCCAGUCGUGGGGGAUAACGCAGCGAAAGCUGUGCUAAUACCGCAUACGAUCUACGGAUGAAAGCGGGGGAUCGCAAGACCUCGCGCGAUUGCAGCGGCCGAUAUCAGAUUAGCUAGUUGGUGAGGUAAAGGCUCACCAAGGCGACGAUCUGUAGCUGGUCUGAGAGGACGACCAGCCACACUGGAACUGAGACACGGUCCAGACUCCUACGGGAGGCAGCAGUGGGGAAUUUUGGACAAUGGGCGAAAGCCUGAUCCAGCGAUGCCGCGUGCAGGAUGAAGGCCUUCGGGUUGUAAACUGCUUUUGUACGGAACGAAACGGUGAGCUCUAAUACAGUUUGCUAAUGACGGUACCGUAAGAAUAAGCACCGGCUAACUACGUGCCAGCCGCCGCGGUAA
rnacentral:rRNA from 1 species